GAAGUCGUUAUCUCGGAAUGGCCUCUGUUGUCUGAGCCUCCGAGGCAUCUGAGCCUGUCCGGCUCUCUGAUUUGCUCAUCCUAUCUCCUCACCGCUAGCUCUCUACCGCUGCUUCGUCUCCCGCGGGUAACAGCGAGGUGAGCGAGAGCGCGCCCAGCUGGUGUCUCCCCGGCCCGCUCCCGGUUGCCACCUAUCGUCCAUGGUGCGCUCGGUGCAGCGGCGAGCACCAGUCCGUGGUCGGCGACGGUGCACCGCCUGCUGCUAGGCAACCGUUUCUCUCCGCCGGUCCGCACCCUCCCCAUCGCCCCUGUUCUAGCUUCUUCUCCAACUUCAGAAGGCAGCCGCCGCCGCCACUUGUUCUCUCCAUCGGGGACUGGGGAUGCAGGCGUGUGGAGCGAUGGUGAGAGGUGGGGUGGGGGUUCCUUCGCCCGCCCGCCCCACUCUGCCACAAGGAAGCGCCGCCCCUCCUUGCUGUGGAUGCCUACCACUGCCUGCCAUGGUACGCUACGAUGGCCCAAAAGUUUUACAACGAAUAAAUUUCAUCGGCGGUCAUUAGAGUUCUCAUUCGGUCUCGGUAUUUUAAAAUGCACAUAAUAUAAAAUACACAUAAUAGUCCUUAAACUUGUUCCACGCUCUCUAGUUCCGGUCCUUAAACUUGUUCCGAGUUCUCAUCCUGGUCAUAAUACUCUCAAAAUGCACAGAAUGAUCUAUAAACUUAUCACACGUUCUUAUCCCAAUCCUUAAACUUAUCCUACACUCUCAUCCAGAUCCAUGCGUUCUAAAAUGCAUUAUUUAUUUAGAAAAAAACUUUUGCAAAUUGUUUCAUGUUUGGAUUUCAAAUCAAGUUGGAUUCCUACUCAAAGUGGAACCAAAAUUUAUGGAUAAAUUUUCAUGAAUUGGAUAUGAAAUAUCAAAAUCUUUAAAUAACCUAUAUUUGAUUUUUUAUGAUUUUCUUAGGAUUUUUAGAUCAAAGGAUAAAUGAUUUUUAAUAUUAUUUUAAUCUAUAAAAUAAAAUCAACUAUUAAAUAAAUGCAUUAGAAUAAAAACUCUAGAAGUCAUCAAAUAUUGUACCAAGAUGAUUGGCUCAUGAAUUUUUAUCAAUUUUGACUGAGAUUAGAACUUGCUUUGAAAUUCUAAAAGUUCGAAAAAAUUCGUAAAAGUUUUUUCCAAAUAUUUUGGAAGUAUAUGAACUUUUCUGAAAGCAUAGGAAAAAGUUUACAGAUCAUUAUGUGCAUUUUGAGAGUUUGAGGACCAGGAUGAGAACUUGGGACAAGUUCUAAGGACCGGGAUGAGAGUUCGGGGCAAUUUUAAGGACUUAUGGUGAAAUUUACUCUUUUACAUAUACCAUUGUGCACACCAUUAGCUUCAUAUUUUGGAUUCAAAUUAUAAUAAAGGUGUCGAAUCCUACUAGCGACAAAUCCGAACUUGAUAUAAAAUUGCAAUAUGCAGAUUAAAUAUGUUUAUAUGGAUUACUGUAUAGUAGCUGAUGGCCAUAAGAUAUUCAUGAAAUAAAACCAUAUUGUGAGAUUUAGUUGCAAGAAAUUUAAUUCAAGUAGGACAUAAAUGUACUUCUUAAAAUUUGAAACAGGACAGUCUAAAUAUAAGUAUUUGGAUGAAGUUGGUUGCAUGGGACCAUGCCACAUGCAAUUGGAACGUUUUUUCUAGAUUGAAACCCUCUUCCUUUGAACAUUUACUCUAACAGAACUAAAAUAUACCAAUUAGAGAGAUUGAGAUUAGAAGUUCGUCACUUCCUCCUGCCUAUAGAGAGGUAACACCGUAAAAUGAGCACCAAAUGAAUUCAACCUCUAGAGGCGCAGCGUCGGGGAUUUUCAAUGACGCACGCGCGCGCUCUCGGGCGGCGACGAUCCGGCGUGUGCACGUUUGCUUCGGUGAAGGUACGAUCGGAUCUCCCAUCUUUUGUUUUAUGGAUUGACGUACGUGUAGAUCUGUUCGCAUGAUUAGGAGUGAGUGGUGUUCCCUUGUGAUUGAUCUGACUUAGGGCUUGCGUGUCACGCCUUUCUUAGUACGGAAGUCCUCCAUUCAUUCUGUUUAUGGUUGGAUGAAUGUUUUUAGUAUUACUAGCGGCCGGGUGCUAAAGUUCCGGUGGGAAUUAUUAAUGUAGGUAAAAUGGAAUUGUUGAUUUUAGGCAAUCACAAGGCGACUAGACAAAUGCUAUACUCCGGAGGUUUAAAAAGAUGCUAAUAAAGUCUGCUGAUCUUCCGUAUCGGUCCAACAAUAGAAAUUGUAGAGGAUACUACGAAACAGUACCAAGCAAAUCCCGAACAAAUAAUACCUGACCUGUGUCAUUGGAUAAGCCAUAUGCGCCCCAGCCGUUGCUAUAUACAUCACCCUAAAAAUUAAGAUUUUGUAGCCUAUUCAUGCUCAGUUAUAUGUCAUACAGUCACCCUAGCUAGCUCAUAUGCAUAUGAUUGCUGUGCACUGUGCAGUACAGUAGAAAUAAUUGCAAUAGCCUUGUUUAGUUCUUUACGUUUAAACCAUUUGAACACACAUUUGAAGUAAUAAAGGUAUACUAAUAACAAAACAAAUUACAGAUUCCGCCUAUAAACUCCAAGACGAAUUUAUUAAGCCUAAUUAAUUCAUCAUUAGCAAAUAUUUACUGUAGCACCACAUUGUCAAAUCAUAGCGCAAUUAGGCUCAAAAGAUUCGUCUCACAAUUUACACGCAAACUGUGCAAUUGGUUUUUUUUUUGUUUUGUCCAUAUUUAAUGUUCCAUGCAUAUGUCCAGACAUUUGAUGUGAUGUUUUUGGCCAAAUUUUUUUGGAUCUAAACAAGUCGAAUUGGAACAUCGGUCUAGUUGUUUGAUUCGACACCCUCUAUUAAAACUGGGUAGGCUAUGGCAUAGACUCGGCCAACCCAGCAUCUAAUCUAAUGUAUACUCCCUCCGUCCCAAAAAUCAAGUCACCCUAGGAUUCAAAAUUUGUCCCAAAAAAUAAGUCAUCGUACUUUAUUUAGAAAGUGCAUUUGCAUGCAAAAAUUAAUUAGUGUCAAAUAUGGGUAAUAAAUAGGAGCAAAUAUGGUCAUUUUACCUUCUUAUUAAUUUACACUAGAAUUUCUAAAUGACUUGUUUUUUUUGAGACGGAGAGAAUAUGUAAAAAAAAAAGAAGUUUCAGUUUCCGAUCUGCCAGCCUACCUAGCUACUUUUUCGAACCUGAAUCUUCGUUGGUGUGCGCGUAUAGUCUCGCAAGGGCGUCAUUCCAGUGGCCGGCGACUACCCACCUGGGCGCCUCCUGCCUGUUGCCCGUGUUCCUUUCCUCUUUCCUCUUAAACGUCAUCGUGCGAGUAACUCCUCUAGUAAUCUAUAAUAAUCUAUACCCUAAUUACACAAAGGUGCACACUAGUUUGGCAAUGGUGUGCAUGCGUACAUAUUUUUGGUGGGACUCAAGGCCUAAUACUGAUGGAUUUUGCCUUGCCAUUAGGUACUCGGAGAUUUAAUUAAUAGCAUAACCCUUGGUCGUGCUGCGUACAUGAUCUAGAGUACUGGACUGAGAAGGCUAGUAUUACUAAAUUAUGAAGAGAAAAGGAGAUACUUCACCACUUUUUCAAAAAAAAAAAGGCAGCAGAGAAGGCCAGAGCUUCAUCUCGUCCUCAUCUCCGGCUGCAACCAUGAAGCCCACCCGGACCCUGGUCUCCCCUUAAAAAUCGGUCGCAAUCCGGGUGGUUUUCGGCGUGGGGGACUUUUGGGUUUUGCUCCGCCGGGUUGGUGCUGCGGGUGCGUGCCAGCGGUGCCGGCGACACGACGCGACAGGAGCGAGCAAGAGCGAGGCAGGCCCACCUUUGUUGGCCUAGAAUGGCUCCACAAAGGGCGAGAUUAGCACGGUCAGUUUGAAACCAUAAUAUGGCAUGUUGCAAAGUUGCUAAUAGUUGACAUCUGAUUAGUUUGUGCAGGCUAGUGAAAGCAACGAGGAUGUGGUGGUUACCAGCAGAGCGAAGGGGAAACAACGCAGUCCACAUAUCUGAUCGACCAUGGAGGGAAUUUUUUUUAAAUUAAUACUUAUUUUUAAAAUGAGUACCUAAGUUGUUAUGCUUUCUGUAGUACGGAGUAAUAACCAAGUUACUAGUUGUCAGCUUGGUAGAUUUUAAAAUAAUUACAUCGAUCUACGAAGAGGAAUGCCCAUUGGUAAAUAA